GGCGCGAAAACUUUGCAAUACACGAAAGUGUGACAGGGCUAUCCCGAGUGCCAUCCGCUGAGGAAGGCUUUUACCCAGUCUAGAAAGCUGGGGGAAUAAGGAGAGGGCAAGUCUGGUGUCAGCCGCCGCGGUAAUACCAGCUCUCCGAGUGGUGUGGAUGUUUAUUGGGCCUAAAGCAUCCGUAGCUGGCUAAGUUAGUCCCUUGUUAAAUCCACCGAAUUAAUCGUUGGAUCGCGGGGGAUACUGCUUGGCUAGGGGACGAGAGAGGCAGACGGUAUUUUCGGGGUAGGGGUGAAAUCCUAUAAUCCCGGGAAGACCACCAGUGGCGAAGGCUGUCUGCUAGAACGCGCCCGACGGUGAGGGAUGAAAGCUGGGGGAGCGAACCGGAUUAGAUACCCGGGUAGUCCCAGCUGUAAACGAUGCAGGCUAGGUGUUUGGACGGCCACGUGCCGUUCUAGUGCCGCAGGGAAGCUGUUAAGCCUGCCGCCUGGGGAGUACGAUCGCAAGAUUGAAACUUAAAGGAAUUGGCGGGGGAGCAC
rnacentral:rRNA from 1 species